UACGUAGGGGGCAAGCGUUAUCCGGAUUUACUGGGUGUAAAGGGAGCGUAGACGGUGAUGCAAGUCAGAAGUGAAAGCCCGGGGCUCAACCGUGGAAUUGCAGUUGAAACUGGAGGCCUUGAGUGCACACAGGGGUGCCGGAAUUCAUGGUGUAGCGGUGAAAUGCUUAGAUAUCAUGAAGAACUCCGAUUGCGAAGGCAGCAUACCGGCGCUCAACUGACGCUCAUGCACGAAAGCGUGGGGAUCGAACAGG
rnacentral:rRNA from 1 species